rnacentral:rRNA from 1 species
GAAGGGUGCAAGCGUUACUCGGAAUUACUGGGCGUAAAGCGUGCGUAGGUGGUCGUUUAAGUCCGUUGUGAAAGCCCUGGGCUCAACCUGGGAACUGCAGUGGAUACUGGGCGACUAGAAUGUGGUAGAGGGUAGCGGAAUUCCUGGUGUAGCAGUGAAAUGCGUAGAGAUCAGGAGGAACAUCCAUGGCGAAGGCAGCUACCUGGACCAACAUUGACACUGAGGCACGAAAGCGUGGGGAGCAAACAGGAUUAGAUACCCUGGUAGUCCACGCCCUAAACGAUGCGAACUGGAUGUUGGGUGCAAUUUGGCACGCAGUAUCGAAGCUAACGCGUUAAGUUCGCCGCCUGGGGAGU